GUACUGUGCAAACGUUAUUCGGAAUCACUGGGCUUAAAGGGUGCGUAGGCGGUGAUUUAAGUAGGGUGUGAAAUCCCUCGGCUCAACCGAGGAACUGCGCUCUAAACUGAAUCACUUGAGUAAGAUAGGGGUGUGCGGAACUUCCGGUGGAGCGGUGAAAUGUGUUGAUAUCGGAAGGAACGCCAGUAGCGAAAGCGGCACACUGGGUCUUAACUGACGCUGGGGCACGAAAGCCAGGGUAGCGAACGGGAUUAGAUACCCCGGGUAGUCCUGGCUGUAAACGAUGAGUACUAGUUGGAAGGCGCUUACGCAUUUUCCAACGUAGCAAACGUAUUAAGUACUCCGCCUGGGAGUAUGGUCGCAAGGCUG
rnacentral:rRNA from 1 species